rnacentral:misc_RNA from 1 species
AAUCAUCAAAAACCCUUUUCUGUUUACUGAAAAGGAUUUUUGGACUUGGAGGUUUAAUGCUUGCCUUUCACUUUUGAAAGUGAGCUCCUCUCAAACGAAUUAGUGGGGUCCGCUUUGUCGGUCCUUGACGUGAUAAAAUGUUUCUACGUUUUGGAUUUGGCACUGUCCCUUUGGAUUCCUGCUCCCAACUGUCCAACGGACAAACGAUGGUGCUCCGGUCGUCGCCGUCUACAUUGGCGGAGGAGGGCUGGACCCACAAAAGAAAA